UCCCAGACUCCUACGGGAGGCAGCAGUGGGGAAUAUUGGACAAUGGGGGGAACCCUGAUCCAGCGACGCCGCGUGAGUGAAGAAGUAUUUCGGUAUGUAAAGCUCUAUCAGCAGGGAAGAAAAUGACGGUACCUGACUAAGAAGCCCCGGCUAACUACGUGCCAGCAGCCGCGGUAAUACGUAGGGGGCAAGCGUUAUCCGGAUUUACUGGGUGUAAAGGGAGCGUAGACGGCUGUGCAAGCCAGAUGUGAAAGCCCGGGGCUCAACCCCGGGACUGCAUUUGGAACUGUGUGGCUGGAGUGUCGGAGAGGCAGGCGGAAUUCCUAGUGUAGCGGUGAAAUGCGUAGAUAUUAGGAGGAACACCAGUGGCGAAGGCGGCCUGCUGGACGAUGACUGACGUUGAGGCUCGAAAGCGUGGGGAGCGAACAGGAUUAGAUACCCCAGUACCA
rnacentral:rRNA from 1 species